rnacentral:snRNA from 1 species
AGCUUUGUGCAGUGGCAGUGUCGUAGCCAAUGAGGUUUAUCUGAGGCAUGGUUUUUGCUAAAACAAACAAGUAAACAAUAUAACAUCCUAUAAAAGCUUUGAUUAAAGCAUAAACAUUUUAAUAUUUUAAAAA